AAGAAGAAAAAGGAGAAAAAGAAGGCAAAGAAAAAGGUAAGGAUGUGGAUGAAAGACCUGCUUACAUGGAUGACUUUGAUGAUGAUUUUGGUCAGUACAUGAAGGGUGAGCAUGAUGUAGAUCUUUUCCCUGAAGAAGAAGUUUUUACUCCAGUAGAUCCUAGCAAAAUGGAGCAAUGAAGACUUCAUCUGAGACCCAUUUAAAACCGUCACAAUCUGUACAAGUGAGGUUUGAUUUUGCAGUGGGCAGUUUUUGAAGCAAUGACCAGAUUCUCCGCAAGCGUAACAACCAUUCUCUACUGGUAAUUUCACCAUCUUGCAUUUGACAGGAUCGAUGGCAUCGUCAAACCAUUCAAAGUACUGACAGGGCCUAAUUUAUAUGAAUGAAGCUGAAUCUGACCGUUACAAAUCCAACCGUUACAAAUCCGACCGUUGCAAUGAGUCACCGAGUUGACUCGAUACUGGUUUGGUUACGAACUCAGACGAGGGUUAAGUCGUCUUUUACCUAGCAGGUUAACUGCCACGUAGCCAGUUAACUAUCUAAAUUCGUUUUUUGAAA